GGAUUGCAUCAAACUAAAACGUUUUUUUGGAACGAUACAGAAAAGAUUAGUAUGGCCCCUGCGCAAGGAUGACAUGAGUCGUGAAACCGUUCCAUAUUUUA
ensembl:snRNA U6 U6 spliceosomal RNA